CCUACGGGGGGCAGCAGUGAGGAAUAUUGGUCAAUGGACGAGAGUCUGAACCAGCCAAGUAGCGUGAAGGAUGACUGCCCUAUGGGUUGUAAACUUCUUUUAUAUGGGAAUAAAAUGUUCCACGUGUGGGAUUUUGUAUGUACCAUAUGAAUAAGGAUCGGCUAACUCCGUGCCAGCAGCCGCGGUAAUACGGAGGAUCCGAGCGUUAUCCGGAUUUAUUGGGUUUAAAGGGAGCGUAGGUGGAUUGGUAAGUCAGUUGUGAAAGUUUGCGGCUCAACCGUAAAAUUGCAGUUGAAACUGGCAGUCUGGAGUACAGUAGAGGUGGGCGGAAUUCGUGGUGUAGCGGUGAAAUGCUUAGAUAUCACGAAGAACUCCGAUUGCGAAGGCAGCUCACUGGACUGCAACUGACACUGAGGCUCGAAAGUGUGGGUAUCAAACAGGAUUAGAUACCCCAGUAGUC
rnacentral:rRNA from 1 species